UGACAUAAUAUGAAUAAUAUUUUUUUUAUCACUUUCUUUUUUUUGAUAUUUUUCAAUUUACCCCAUAACACAACAUCAUGUUUUCAAUUUAAAAAUACACACCCAUUUUUUAAAAAAAAUAACUCCCUUUUAAAUAUACAAGAAUGCAGUAAAAAAAGUAUAUCACCAAUAAAAUUAAUGAAAUCGGUUUCUUGUAGCACAAAAAUUUUAAAAAGAUUAAAUUUAAAAAAAAAUAAAAUAUACGAGGAUAUAGAAAAUUAUAUUAAAAAAAAAAACAUUAUCUUGUAACAAUGAAAAUGACACCAUCAUCACAAAUAACUUAAAUGAAUUUAGGCCUAUUUUUCAAUAUGAUCAAGAGGAUUGGAAUGAAAUAGUGAUUGAUAAUGUUAGGAAUAAAAAUAUAAUAAACUUAAUAAAUUUUUUAUUUACAGAGUAUAAAAAGGCAUUUAUUGAUGUUAAUGAAAAAAUAAAAGACCUAAACAAUAAUCAGUGUAAUAAUGAAAAUAUAAAACUUUCAUUUGUUUCGUUAGGAUCUAUUAAAAUAACUGAUAUGAAUAAAGAUGAAUUUUUACAACAUUUAAAUAAAUAUAUUAUUUUAUUAAAAUAUAGUAAAGAUAAUUAUAUAUCUUUUAAUUUUAUCAAAAGUGAAAUAUUAAAUAUAACAGAUAAUAUUAUAAAAUAUGUACAGAACUAUUUACAUGAGGAACAGGUGUGUGAUAAGAUAAAAAAUGAAUUUCUAAUUAUGCAUGAUCUUAUAAAAAAAAUAAAAAAAAAUGAUGCUAUAAAAAUGAAUAUUAAGUACUUUUUAGAAAUAUUAAAUAGUAAGAAAGUUUUAAAUAAUAAUAGUAUAUUUUAUUUAGUAACAAAAAUAUUUUCUUUAUUUAACGUAUUAGUGAGGGAUAAUUCCUCACUAAUUUAUCGGUAUGAUUAUAUACUAACUCCACGGUUUUUCUUUUUAUGUAUUUUUUCAUUAUAUUCUUACAAUUUAAGUAAAUCUCGUUUUUAUUAUUUUAUGUUAUUAAUCCAUGGUAGAGUAGAAUUAUUAAAUUUAACAGAAAAUGUUACGAAACUAUAUGAUGACAAUAUAAAUUAUUAUGUGUACAAAAAAAAUGUUAUUGAUACUAUUUUUAAAAAAGAAAAAGAGCAAUAUGAGUUUAUUACUAAGAAGAUGGUUAUAGAAAAUGAAACCAACGUUGUUAGUACUAUUACAAAUGAAAAAUAUGUUAAAGAAAAUUUUCAUCAUAAUAUAAAGAAAAAUCACCCAAACGAUGAAAAAGAGGAAAGCAUUUUUGUUAAUAACAAUAAAGGAGAGGUACUAAUAAAUGAACAUAACAAGGUGUUACAAUUUAAAGAUUUAUAUGAAAAUUUGUUGAUAAAACUUUUACUAUUUUAUGUUUUUUUUUAUUUUAGUGACCAUUAUUUUUGUAUAAUAAUUUUUUUAAAUUUUUGUAACUUGAUGAAGGACAAUGAAAGGAAUAAUGAAAGAUAUAAUGGAAGGAAUAACAACAAAAUAACAGAAACAAUUAAUUAUUUAUUUUUUAUUUUGUUAGACAGCUUACAUCAUGUAAGAGAGUAUACCAAAAUCAUAGUUCUUUUAAAUUUGUAUAAAGAAAACUUUCUUCCUUUUGCUGAUAAAGAUUUAAGUCAUGUAAAAAAAGUUGUUAAUUCAGUUUUAAAUGAUUAUAUUGAAAACGAAAGUUUUUCUUCUGAAUCAUUGAAAUUAGUUCUAGAAAUUAAUGAAUCUAUUAGUACUGUGGAAAAUGAAAAAGCAAAAUGUAUGUAUAACAAAAAUGACAUAAAUGAUUUAUAUGAAGACGAACAUGUUAAAAAAAAGUAUUUAAACGAAGGUGUUAUUUUUAAAGAUGAAAAUAAAGGAGAGGGGGUUGAAGAAAAUCAUAAUGAAACAAAAUUCGAAACCGAUAGUAUAAACAAACAGUUGAAUUUUAAUGAAAAAAAAAGAAACAUAUUUAUUAAUACUUUAAAGUGUAAACAUACAAGUCCAACUGUUACUUCAAAUACGGGUUUAAGCUCGAACAUAGGCUCGAACAUAGGCUCGAACAUAGGCUCGAACACAAGUGUGAACACAAGCUCGAACACAAGUGUGAACAUAAGCUCGAACACAAGUGUGAACAUAAGCUCGAAUUCAACAACGGGCGAAACCGAUUUAACCGACACGAAGAACAGUUUUAACAAUUAUUUGAUUUAUUUAUUAAAAAAAAAGGCAUAUGACAAAAUUGAACGGAUAGAAAAAAGAAAUUAUUUAAAUGAAAAUAAUACAACAUAUAGUUUAUUUAUUGAGUCAUACUUAAGUAAUCAUAAAUAUGAUAAAGUGUACAAAGUUUAUAAAAAAAUGAAAUUAAGAAAAAAUAUAACUAUCAACUAUUUGAAUGUGAAAAAUUUGAUACAUAGUUUUAAAAAAUGUGACAUAAACAAAGGAGAUAUAUUAAAUGAAUUACAAUGGAUAUAUAAAGGUUUUUUAAAUUUAUACUUUUCAAAAGAUUCUUAUUUUAUUUUAGUCAAAACUUUGUUAUAUAAACAUAUAUGUGAUUAUUUAAAAAAAAAAGUGUGACAUGAAUCUAAUUAUAGAUAUAUUUAACAUUAAUGAACUUAUUAAAUAUUUUAUAAAAUUUAAAAGUUUUAUUAAUAUCAAAAAAUUAUAUUUUAUUCUACUGAAUUAUUCUUAUAUCAAAACAUAUAAAACGUAUUUAAUAUUGAUAAGGUUUUUUAACAAUAUAUAUUAUGAAAAGAAGGAAUUUAACAGACACACUGGGGAAGAGAGUCUUUUGUUAAAAGAAAAAGCAAUUCAAAAUAAACAAACAAUUCAAAAUGAAAAAACA
ensembl:lncRNA